GUGUUUUGCAAGUGGCAUCCUGCCAGGGAUGCUGCACGAGCUUUAAAAGAUUGUGUUAGAAAACUUUAUACGCAAACUUAUCAUUUUUGGAGCGAGAUUUCAAACAGUAUGUCUAGCGAUGUUUAAUGAAUUUAAGACCAUGUGUACUUGAGAGUCGAGGUAUAAUUUGGUCAUUGUGAUCACAUUUGAGUGGAGGGCAUCCGUGAGACUGUCUAGCUGGCUAAAGAAAGUUUGAGAUACUGAUCAACGUUCCGGUUGGAUACUACCUCAUAUUUUUGAUGAUCUGUGUCAGUAUUGAAACACAGAUAAGUUUAAGGCAAUGUUUGAACAAGCCGAAAAGGUUAGAUGCAGUCAUAAGGAUUGCUCGUUGCACACCGCACGUGUAAAAAUUGUUACAACAAUUACAAGAGAUAGUGAAAAAAUUGCGCACUCCCAUUGAACCGAAGAUUUUCAAGAAGACUCAUGCGAAGAAGAAAGUAAAUGAAUCGGGUUCGGAUGUGUAGGUGGAGGAAAGGGAUGA